AUCGAAUUCCAAAUUUACUUUAGCGUUUACAAUUUAUUAUUUUAACUAAAGGGAAAAGGACAAUUGAAACAUUUUGUUUUAUUCCAAUGAAACUGAGAUAAUUUGAGUGUCAAAUCAGAUACCAACAAGGCGUAAAAGAUUCUUAUUGUAGGUGAUAAAGUUCUAUAAAUUUUCUAUGAAAUAGUAGAUUGAUUUUGUAAAAUCCACAAGAGGAAUCAGACUGCUAUUGGAAAUCGACGUGUGAUAAUUGGACAUCGUACUGUGACUGUGGGAUUUUAAUGGCAUUGCAUACUUAAAAGAUCCGGUCAACAUUAAAUUGCAAUAGUUCUAAAAGAUCAAUUAGCUUACAAGGUAAGAACAUAAUUGUUGGUAUCUUUUUUUUCAUGUUAAUUUUGAAUAACGCUUGUUUGUCUGAUUUACUACUAUCGAAAGAAAAAAAAUAUUAUUAAGUCACAUUUUCUUUAGUGCUUAAAAUGUAACAAAAUCUUGUUAAAUACAUACCUUAAUUCUAUCUUAAGAAAAUGUAUCUAAAUUUAUUUUUUCUCUCUUAUGUAUAUUUAAAUUGUCGCAUCUUCUCAUAUCAGAUGGAACUCAACUAUUUCUAUCCAAAUCAAAAAUAUGUUUCAAACCUUUUUAAAGUCUUUUUUUGUGACCCAUUUAUCAAUAUGGUUCAAAAUUUCAUCGACAGAAAGUAACUCAUAAACUUCAUAUAAAACCAUAUAUACAACAUAGAAAUAAAAAGAGAAAGCCAUUUACGGAAAUGUUAUAGAUUAAUAGAACUAUUUACGCGAAAAUUACUAAUUUUAUUUCCGACAUGAUUAUUACAGAUAAUUGCUUUGCAAUCUCGUGUAAUAUAUUUACUACAAGGAAAUUAAAGAUUUAUAGUUUAUGAGGAAUGUGUAUAGGGUAAUAACAGUGCCUAUUUUAUAUGUAAAAACGAUCAACAAUGCCCCUUCAUGCAAUACUUAAAGUAGAGAAAGUUCGCAAUUUUUUAACGGUCAUUUUGAAGGAAUAUGAGGAGAGCUCAAAUUAUUUGAAAGACAAGGAAAUAACCUUUUAUAAACUACACCUCUUGAAAACCAAAUUUUUCUUUCAAUUACAUUUACUCAUUUUAAGAUAUAAUCGGAUAACCUUCUCCGAUGAGCUAGAGCUCAUACUUUGAACAGCAAUUAUGUCCAUCUUGCAGGUCAGAUUUUGAAAUAUAAUCUAUACAAACGUAUCUAUUAUCCCUUUAUGAGUAAGAAGUAUUUUAAAAAGUGUCAUAUGAUAUUUUAACUGGAAAAUAUCAAAACACUUUUUUGUUGACUUGAAUUAUCAUUAAUGUGUUCAUAAUAAUAAAUUAACUGUUAAUAAAACUUUGAAUAUUUGAAAUACUAAGGCUUUUCUACCUAAGGAAUAGAUAACAUUAGCUGUAUUUGGAAAAACUUUUAGGAAUUUGUGGUCCUCAAUUCUCUUCAACUUCGAACUUUAUUUGGCAUUUUAAACAUUUCUUGAUUCGAACGUCACUGAUGAGUCUUUUGUAGACGAAACGCGCGUCUGGCGUAAGUGUACCAUUUUAAUCCUGUUAUCUAUGAUGAGUUUAUUUAGAACCACUGGGUCGAUGCCACUGCUGGUGGAGAUUUAUUUCCCCGAGGGUAUCACGAUCCCAGUAGUCAGCACUUUUGUGUUGACUUGAGUUAUCAUUGAUAUGUUCAUCAUAAUAAAUUUACUGUUAACAAAACUUAGAAUUAUUGAAAUACUAAGGCUUUUCUACCUCAGGAAUAGAUUACCCUACCUGUAUUUGGCAAAACUUUUAGGAUUUUUUUGUCCUCAAUGCUCUUCAACUUCGUACUUUUUUGGCAUUUUAAACAUUUCUCGAUUCGAGCAUCACUGAUGAGUCUUUUGUAGACGAAACGCAGCGUCUGGCAGUAAGUGUAAAAUAUUAGUUCUGGUAUCUAUGAUGAUUUUAUUUACAUUCAACGUAAUUUUCUGAGAAAUUUGUAUGUAAAGCAAUUAACUGAAAACUUCUUCGAAUAAAAAACAAAACACCGGAUUAAUUUAGUUUCAGUUAUAAUAACAAAAUUGUCCAAGAGUGGAUUCACUAAAUUGUAACUUACAUGUUUAUAAGUGCUGAGCUAACUAUCGAGAAAACAGUUCACCAGCAGUUAUAACAUCUUUUGAAAACAUAUGUAGACACUGGUAGAGUAUCAAUGCGACAUAAUUAAGGUAUUACGGGGAUAUUAGUUUUAAAAUUUUCACGAUAAAUAGCAAAUACUGAUGCAGAAAUGCACCUUAUUUGUGUAAUUUUCUAAUUUAUAAAGAUUCCCCUUUAAAAGGAGUAAGUUCGGUACGGGCCAUACUUUGUUAUUAAGUUCAAUGUUUCAAGAUUAAAUGUGGUUUAAGUUGACGAAAAGACAUGUAAGAAAAUGUACAAAAAUCUUUUCAAAAAUAUGUGUUUCAAGCGUUAAUUAUCACAACCAAGUACACAAAAUAAAGAUUUCAAAAUUUGACAAAUUGUUCAAAUUACAAACAUUUUCUGAGAAUAGAACGCAGACGUAAGAAAACUAAAUAAGUCAAAUGUUUAAAAAAUUUUGACAAACAUUAUAUUACAAUAUCUUUUGUAUCGACUCACGCUAUUCCUUUCCCAAACAAAAUUAAGAAUGGAAAUUGGGAAUGUGUCAAAGAAACAACAACCCGCACAAAGGUCAGACAACAACCGAAGGCCACCAAUGGUGCACUCGGAGACGUUCUUCAGCUGGACCUAAACGAAAAUGUAUACUAGUUUCAAAAAUGAAUAGAAUUUAUCUGUGUGAAAUCUAUUUUCGUGGAAAAUUGAAAUUAGUUCAAUUUGAAACGUUAUGAUUAAAAUGCAAGAACGUAAUAUUCAGUAGUUACUUAUUUCAUAAAUACAGAAACAAUUUUUUGAAUGAAAUGUUUGAGCAAACUUUUUCAUUUUUUUUUUUUUUUUUUUUUUUUUUUUUUUUUUUUUUUUUUUUUUUUUUUUUUUUUUUUUUUUUUUUUUUUUUUUUUUUUUUUUUUUUUUUUUUUUUUUUUUUUUUUUUUUUUUUUUUUUUUUUUUUUUUUUUUUUUUUUUUUUUUUUUUUUUUUUUUUUUUUUUUUUUUUUUUUUUUUUUUUUUUUUUUUUUUUUCAACUACAUAAACAACAUAUUUCAAAGUUUGGUGACUAUAUUAAACACAUUUAUUCCAUCGAAUUUGAAAUAAAAAAAAAAUACUACAGAGGCAGUUAGGUCUGAUUCACAUAUCAACUUAAAUCUAAAAUGGUCAGUAGCGAACUAUUUUAUCAGGAUUUUCACCAUAGAAGUGACAAGGAAACUAUCGAACCCAGGCUUCCUAACGAAAAGCUGAAGUACUUCCGUCGACAGUGUUACUGACACCAUCAUGAUUUGAUUGGCCGUUAAUGAAUAUCUGUGUCACAUUAUUAGAAUUGUUGUAGCUGCACACUCGUCUUCUUUUACUUGUUUGUCUAUACUAUCGAAAGAUGUGGUUUUAUAGGUUUUUCUGUCAAUUGUUCAUCAUUUUGAACCAAUAAAUUAUGUUUUCAAAGUAUGUGUCUGCCAUUCAACAUAUUCCUAAAAUCAUACAGAAUACGUAUUACAAAAAUAUUGGACGACUUAUUGUAAGUUCAUUGUCAUUGUGUGUUUUAUUUAAUUCAAUUAAUCUAAUAGUAUGUUUCUUUUGAUUGAGACUUUAGCAAACUAAACAUUUAUAAUAAGUAUCCACACAUCCAUUUAUAUUUAAAUUAGUAUAUGACGACAACGGUGUUGUUAAUCUGUAAGAUUGGUCAUGAAGUCUGUUGGGAAAACUAGAUUACUAAAAUAAAAACUGUAUAUUCUUGUAUUUGCUUUAAACAAAUAUGUGAUUUUUUUUAAUUUUCAAGACAAUGACAAUGAUAUCAAUUUUUAUCUAAAUACACGUGUUUAUAUAACAAUGUUACAAUUUUUUUCAGAUAAAACCAAUUUUGAACAAUGCAGAAGAUUAUCUUUAUGUGUCUUUGUGUUUGCAUAGUAACUGUUCGUGGCGGAAGUGAAGAUGACGUCACAGACCUUUGUAACUUGUGUGCUUUAGAGAGAAAUGAAAAUAGUGUGGCUUGUAUGAUUUGCCGGAGUGCAUUAGAAAAUGAACCAGACUCAAAUGAAUAUAGAAAUAUGAACAAACGUGGAUUUCUGCGACAGACACGCCUAUUUCCAUGCCAAUGUUGUGCAUUCUCACGUCAUCAAAACGCGUACUGUUGUGAUAAGUGUUACAAGAAAUAGGGGUUCAUCAUGUCGAAGAGAUGUUCAUAUUCAAUCGUUUAUUUUUGAAGUUUUAAGUACAUGUAAUUGUUAGUUAAGAUGUGAUUUUAGUUUAUAUGCAGAACUAUGGUGUUUUCGGUGUUCGGAAAAGUAAAUUAUUUGAGUUUUUAUUUUCCGCCAGCUUAUUUCAAGAAGUUGUUCACAUGACUGUCUUUAUUUAGAAAUAAUUCAUUUAUGAUAUCUAUUAGAAAAACAAAAUAGAUGUUUGAAUUGCAUUACUAGGGAAUGCCAAGUAACAUAUUAGUUGUUAGAAAAAGAAUAAGGAUAUUUUGUAAUUUAUUUGUUUGUAUCAUAAUUAUCAUUGACAUUUACGGAUGUAAAAAGCUUUUAGUUUGAGAGACGUAAUAAUUCUUCAUGAUCACCCAUCAUUAAUCGUUAUACUUACCAUCUUCAUGAGUGAACGAGACGUAGACAAAGUGGCCUCAGAGUUAUUAUGAAAAUAAGUAUGAUGCAUUAAAAUAAAUAUUUUGGCUGUAAUGAAGUGUUUUAAUGUUUUAGAUCCAUUUAAUAUUCAGUGUUAUUUUGUCCACUGUCUAG
rnacentral:lncRNA from 1 species